rnacentral:rRNA from 1 species
UACGUAGGGUGCAAGCGUUGUCCGGAAUUAUUGGGCGUAAAGAGCUCGUAGGCGGUUUGUCGCGUCGGCUGUGAAAUCUCGGGGCUCAACCCCGAGCCUGCAGUCGAUACGGGCAGACUAGAGUGCUGUAGGGGAGACUGGAAUUCCUGGUGUAGCGGUGAAAUGCGCAGAUAUCAGGAGGAACACCGGUGGCGAAGGCGGGUCUCUGGGCAGUAACUGACGCUGAGGAGCGAAAGCGUGGGGAGCGAACAGG